UUUCCGUAGGUGAACCUGCGGAAGGAUCAUUGUCGAAACCUACAAAAGACAGCACGACCCGUGGACCGGUGAAUAAAUGCUCGGGGGACGUGCCUUCGGGCCUUCCUCCCGGAGUCCCCGGCCAAGGUUGCGGUCGACGUCGACGUCGCGUCCUUGGCUGCGGGCAAAACUAACAAACCCCGGCGCAAGUCGCGCCAAGGAAAAUGAAAAGGAGAUGCGCUCCCCUCGUCCCGGGAACGGUGCGUUGGGGAGUUACAUCGUCGUUAUCAUUAUUUGAAACGACUCUCGGCAACGGAUAUCUCGGCUCUCGCAUCGAUGAAGAACGUAGCGAAAUGCGAUACUUGGUGUGAAUUGCAGAAUCCCGUGAACCAUCGAGUUUUUGAACGCAAGUUGCGCCCGAGCCGUCAGGUUGAGGGCACGUCUGCCUGGGUGUCACGAAAAGUCGUCGAAUAUCCCUCCCCCAACCCCUACAUACAAAAGUGGAGGUAGGAGCGACGAGGGACGACGGAUAUUGGCCUCCCGUGAGCUCGUGCGAGCGGCUGGCCRAAAAAUCAGGUCUGCCCGCAAGGCGGCCGCGACACACGGUGGUUGAAAGCGCACGCACUCCUCGAACACCGUCGUGGGCCAGCCUCGUUCGUGGGGAGCCAAAAGACCCCGACGCGGAGCGUCAUCKCAAAGCGACCCC
rnacentral:rRNA from 1 species